rnacentral:misc_RNA from 1 species
CUCAACCGUAAGGAGGGGGAUGCCUAAGGCAGGGCUAGUGACUGGGGUGAAGUCGUAACAAGGUAGCCGUACCGGAAGGUGUGGCUGGAUCACCUCCUUAAAGGGAGACCUAAUUCAGGUAGGAGACGAAAAAAAAGUAGUCGCUACCAAGAAUCAAUCCCAAAAGGUCGGAGCGAGGCGAAAUUGGCUUUCAAACUAGGUUCUGGGUUCACACAAGACCUGAAUCAGGAACAAGGGCUAUUAGCUCAGGUGGUUAGAGCGCACCCCUGAUAAGGGUGAGGUCCCUGGUUCGAGUCCAGGAUGGCCCACCUGCACAGGUGGCAAAAACAAGAGAAGCGAGGAAUCAGCACCUUAUCUUAUCUAUAUAUAUAUAGGAGAGAAUGCUGGCUCUGAGUAAAGAGUCCAGAGGAACCUUGAAAACUGCAUAGAGCUAGGUGAAAAAGCCAAAAAAGAAGACCGCAAGGUCAAGCUAAUAAGGGCUAACGGUG